ensembl:lncRNA
CAUAUUAGUAAGGCUACUGUUUGCUGAGCUGUCAGGAAAGUGUGCCUUGCUCUUAAGCACUUUCUGAGAAUUUUUGUGUUGUUUCCUGGGCACAAACCAGUGAGAGCCAUCAAAGAGGAGUUUUACAGGAUUGCAGGUCAGUGGUGUAUAAAUCGGUUUAAAUGAGGCUAACCUGAUAAAUGACAUUCAGCUACGAAUAUCUUGCUGUGACCCUUGGAAGUAACCUAAGAAUUAGAAUUCCCUGGAGUAUUUCCGAAUGUGGUUGGAUGCAUUGAUGGCACUCAUAUUCCGAUCAUCGCACCUUCUGAAAAUGAAGCGGAUUAUGUCAACAGGAGGUCCAUCCACAGUAUUAAUGUGCAGGUACACUGACAGCCUACUGUUUCUAAUGGUCAAAGACUACAUCACAAUACUGUACAUGUCUCAUUCUUUGCACUGUCAAGAUCAUAUGUGAUGCUGCCAAGUGGCCCGGCUCUGUUCAUGAUUCAAGAAUGUAUCAGGAGUGAACCCUGAGCAACAAACUGGAAAGGGGUAAGUAAAUGUAUGUCCUAUACACAUAUGUGACCCAUCACAGAAACCAGUGACACAAGUCGGCAGCACAACUUUCGAGCAAAAUGAGAAAGAAGUGUUUUUUUUUUUAAAUUGGUGAUUUUCGUUUUUUUGCAGAAUCUGUUAGUUGAGAUCACGAAGAAGCCUCUCCGUGUUUGAGAUAGCAGUAUUGGUAUAUUUAAAAGCGUACAUUUUGAGGUUGAAAUCGGCUUGUUUUUCGGAGAUUCUAGCACGCAGUAGGGCCGUGUCGUUGUCUGUGUGUAUUUCCAUACUGGAUGAGCCGGCUUUUGUUUCUUUUGUUAUUGCCCCCGCCCUCCAAGGGAAGCGUGGCUACUUAUUAUGCAGCGCUCCUGCCGGCUCUAGCUGAUAUCAAAAUUCAAUGAAGAUAGACGCCGCAACGCCAGACAUUAUGUACAACAUACGGCUGGAUUCUUUAGCUGCGGAAAAAGAGUGGCAGGACAUGCAAAUUAUUGGACAUUUAGAGGCAAACAAACACACAGUGCAAACUUCGGAGAUGGUAACAUCCACAAAGAAGACCCCGACAAAGAGAAAGUGUGCCCGAACGACUUAUUUCAUUGGAGGCAACGAGAUCUGCAAGAAUACUUUUCUGUUUCUUAUGGGGUCACCGUAGCCACCAGAUCCAGUCUGUAUCUAGAUCAGAUGGUCAUUGCAGUCACCCGGAUUCAGUACAUAUCCAGACAAGAUGGUGGAUCAGCACCUAGAAAGGACCUCUACAGCCCUGAAUGUCAGCGGAGACCAGGACAACUAGAUGAGCCCCAGAUACAGAUCCCCUGUAAAGACCUUGUCUCAGAUGACCACCGGGACAAGACCACAGGAACCUAAUUGAGUCCUCUGCACAUUCUGACUUUGCUGCAGCCUGGAAUUGAACUACUGGUUUCGUCUGGCCAGAGGAGAACUGGCCCCCCGACUGAGCCUGGUUUCUCUCAAGGUUUUUUCUCCAUUCGGUCAGCGAUGGAGUUUUGGUUCCUUGCUGCUGUCGCCUCUGGCUUGCUUGGUUGGGGACACUUCAUUUACAGCGAUAUCGUUGACUUGAUUGUAAAUGAUUGCACAGAUACUAUUUAAACUGAACUGAGCUGCAUGAUGACAUCACUGAAUUCAAUGAUGAACUGCAUUUAAUUGUCAUUUUGCAUUAUUGACACACUAUUUUCCUAAUUAAUGUUGUUCAGUUGGUUUGACACAAUCGGUUUUGUUUAAACUUUGUUUAAAAUUUUAGUUUUGACUUGACUUGACUUGACUUGAAGGACCAUUACUACAAACGCAUUAUACUUGAAGCCCAUCCUCUGAGAAAUACUGAAAACAUUGUUAUAAAUUAAAGCAACACCCCCCUUUACCCUUUGCAUGUGGCUCAUGUUUAUAGCAGUAAUCUUGGGGGGUAGACUCGUUUAAAAUAAUGUAAUCAUCAGGUUUUAGCCUGGUUUCUGUCAAAACCGAGCACAUCUAGGUUAUGAUCAGUGAUCAUAUCAUUUACAAAAAGUGCUUUCGUAGAAAGGGACCUGAUGUUCAAUAAGCCAAGCUUCAUCAUUUGUUUAUCUGUAUUACAUCUGUUUUUUAUUUGCUGAACAUCAAUUAAAUUGUUACUCUUAAAUUGGUUUUGACGUUUUUUUUUUUUU